GACGAACGCUGGCGGCGUGCCUAAUACAUGCAAGUAGAACGCACAGUUUAUACCGUAGCUUGCUACACCAUAGACUGUGAGUUGCGAACGGGUGAGUAACGCGUAGGUAACCUGCCUGGUAGCGGGGGAUAACUAUUGGAAACGAUAGCUAAUACCGCAUAAUAUUAAUUAUUGCAUGAUAAUUAAUUGAAAGGUGCAAUUGCACCACUACCAGAUGGACCUGCGUUGUAUUAGCUAGUAGGUGAGGUAACGGCUCACCUAGGCGACGAUACAUAGCCGACCUGAGAGGGUGAUCGGCCACACUGGGACUGACACGGCCCAGACUCCUACGGGAGGCAGCAGUAGGGAAUCUUCGGCAAUGGACGAAAGUCUGACCGAGCAACGCCGCGUGAGUGAAGAAGGUUUUCGGAUCGUAAAGCUCUGUUGUAAGAGAAGAACGGGUGUGAGAGUGGAAAGUUCACACUGUGACGGUAUCUUACCAGAAAGGGACGGCUAACUACGUG
rnacentral:rRNA from 1 species